GGAAGAAUAGUCUAUUUAAGACGUCUCAUUUACGCUGAGAAGAUUAACUCAUUUUAUUCUUCCA
rnacentral:tRNA from 1 species